GCUUCAAUGUCUUCUUCCUUGAUCUCACCAUUCACAACCUUUGGAGCUACGGAUUCCAUUAUCUUGCCUUUUGUCGAAUUCCAAUUAUCAUUAAGAACAUCCACCCAUAACUUCCUUAUCUCCUUUGGUACUUAUAUAAUUAGGGUUCUCGUUUCUUUAUCUUCCUCAGUCUCCUUGCUUCCACUAUUUUCACUUGAACUAACAUUGUUUUUGUGUUUGUUGAUUCCUCCGUCUCAUCUUGGUCUUGCAUUUCCGUUUGUGUUACUCGAUUUCCACAAUUUUCCGACGACUAUGGCACUAUUCUUUUCGGCCGCCCUUGUCCCUUUGUUAUCGCUCGUUCUGAAAGAAAAUAGUUGAACAUGUAAUAUGUGUUAAACACUUAAUAUAAAUUUGAGAAUUAAAUUUAAAACAACUUAAAGAUAAAAAGACAAGAUAUAUUAUUUAGUUGGCGAUAAAAUGAAGCAUUUAAAAAUAUUAAAAUGAUACUAUUCUUAAGAGCAUGUUUGAUUAAAAAUAAAUAAAAAAGAUAUAAUUUAAUGAUUAUCUGUUAUGACUCAAGUGAGUCUCUAAAAUUAAAAUCACAUAAAUUUUGUUGUAUGGAAAAAGGAGAUAAAUUUAUUUUAAAUAUAAAGUCAAUUAUUAAAAGAGGACCAUAAAGAAUAAAAUAAAAAAAAUUGGGAAAAAAACAAUGUUAGCUUUCCUCCAAAAUAAGGCCAUAUUUCUAUUAUUUGGCCUUAAAUAUUUUUUUAUUCAAUAAUAUCUGAAGUAUCACUAUUGUAAUAAAAAUUUAAUUUUAUAUUUUGUCUCCAUUAAAAUAUGUCACAUCAUUUAUCAAACAAAACAUUUUUACAAAAAUAAUAUCCUUUUCCUCCCUUCCUUUUCUUUUCACUAGAUUAAAAUCCUUUUCAUGGCUAGAAGAAAAUUAAAUAGAGUAAAUGUGAAUGAUUAUUUUAAACUUGAGUCGUGUGAUUCAAUUAUUUAAAGGGUAGAACGUAAAGAAAAUAAUCAAAUUUAUUUCAUAUUUUAAUAAAUAUCAUUUUAUUUCAUUUGAUCUUAAAUACGAUAAUUGUGUGAAAUAUAAUUAUACAUUUUUUCCAUUGAAAUCUCUCUUCCUCUUCCAUCAAUUUCAUUAUCUCAAUUAAAAUCUCUCUUCACCAAUUUACUAUUAUGAACAAAAUAAACUAUAAAACAAUAGAUAAAUUCAAAAUGAUAUUAUAAUAUAAGGUCAUAAGAAAAAUAGUAGGUAGUUUUUAAUAUAUUUGUUUUGUAUUACUAUUGUAAUCAUAAACGAGAGGAUUUUGUAGUAAUCUUUUGUAUUGAGUUAGAUUAUUCCUACUCUUCUUUGAUAUCAUUUACUUAUAAAGAAAUUGAACAAAAUAUUAUUUGAAUUUGAACUAAAAGUAAUAUAUAUAUAUAUAUAUAUNAUAAAUAAAUAUUUAAAACUCUAUUUAAUAAAUAAAUAUAUCACCACAAUUUUAAAAAAACUUAUUUGUUAUUUUGUUAUUUUCCCUUCAACUCACUCAAUCAAAAUAUUAAAAAGAGUAUUUAAUUAAAACAUUGAAAAAACUAAAGAUAAAAAAAAUGAUAUUUGAAAAUAAUAUAAAACAUUGAAAUGGUUCGCAAGUUCUAUUUCAAUUUAUAGAAACUGAUAUUAUUAAGUUAGAUAUCAGAGUUUAAAUUUAAUGUUUAUAAUUGUAUAAGAGUUUCUAAUAAUUAUUACUUCUUCAUUUAUGAAAAAAUAUCGAAAUGAAAUUAUUUUUAAAAGUAUAUUUGGUUUGAAGAAAAUAAAACAAAAAAGAAAAAUAUAUUUUGUAAUUUUAAUUUUAGAUGUUUAAUUUAAAAGAAAAUAGAAUAUGUAACUUAAAUUAUUGACCAUCGUGUAUUAUGCAAAAUGGGACGGAAAUUUUCAAAUAAAUGAUAUUACAUAGUUAAAUGAUGAAUUCUUAUAAAAUCUUAGUUUUGUUUAUUAAUGAUAACUUAGAUUAAACUCUCUCAAUUUGAAGAUACUAGAUUUUAUGUAUCUUAUUUUUUCUUAAUAAUAUCUUAACCAUAAAUUUAUGUUUCCCAAACUUGUAAUUAACUUUUGUAAUCUUUCAUCAUGACUUGGAGUAUUCUUACCUUAUAAAGAGAUCAUAUAAAAUAUAAAAGAAAAUUGAGAUUUUCUUUAAAUAAUCAAUUUUUUCAAAUUAAAUAUUAAAAUUAAUUAUCAAACUAACCACUUUCUAAAUAAAAAAAAUUACACGACAAGAGCAAUAGUCCGGACAAAUGGCACAUGCGUUGUCCUUUUGCACUAAGGCGCCAAUGGUGGUGGCGAAAACAUUUACUACAUGUCACUGCAAGUGACGCAUGCAUACAUCCAAUAGAAGCAUGCGCAACAUGCAAGAGCUACUCCUCUAUUUGCAACUUCUAUUUAUACAACAUCCUUUCUCCAUCAUUUUCACACAUCUUAUUACUAUCCCAUUCCAUUUUUUUUCAAAAUCUCUGCAUAUAUGUGUCCUUAUAUUCACAAGAGAAAUGCCGAUUUAAUUUAUUCGGUAGUAAAACCUCUAAUGAAGAUCCGACUCUGAAAUACAGAGACGUUCAAACAUCUUAACUGAGCUUUAUUUGUUGGUUACAUAGAGACGUCGCAGAGGGUGAAAAUAUUAGAAGAAUUAAAAGGUUUGUUACCACGUUCAAUCAAAAUUGAGAAGUUCGUUUCUGGGACAAUGUUAAAACUGCCAGAGAUGUCCACAUGAUGAUGUAUAAUUCUCAGGAAAUUAUCCUGAUGGUUGUAAUCACAUAGUAAUGUUGUUAAGUCGUUGUACUUGUUUGUUUUGUUGUUUAAAUUAUUGUUUAGUUGUUGUUUUUAAAUUAUUGUAACCAAAUGUUAUGAUAUUUAUGAAAUGAAAGUUGUUUUUAAUAUAAAGCAAAAUGGUUACGUUUAAAAUUAUGUUUUUGUGUUUGGUCCAACAUUGGGACAGUUUGUACGAUUGCAUCCGGGUUGGUGACAUGAACUACAUAAUCUCACCAUUUUGUUCGCCGUAUCCAUUUUGGUUCGAAUAUGCAUGCUAUUAGGGCGGUCCUUUUUCUUUCUUCGCAUUUUUUCAUUGUGUCAGACUAUCUCCCUUUGAUAUGCAUGCCAAUAAUCCUCUUUUUCUAUCACCAACAAGUUAUUGUUGUAAAUAUUGCAUAGGUUUAUGACUUUGUAAACGACAGAUAGUAAGUUGGAAGGGUCAUGUCAAACCUUUGAACAUGUCACUAUGACAUGGGAGCAAGGCAUACAAAAGACUUGGAACUUUCUGCAGUUGCACCAACCUUUAUCUAGUUCCAUUCAACAGUAUCCCCUCAGUCUACCUUCAUUAUGAUCCAUUGACUCAACAACAAUGAAUCAACCCUUUAGUACAUUCAAACACUUUGACCACGUGUGUGUUAGCUUUGUUGGCUUCCUCCUUAAUGAAUUUCAUUGAACCAUCAUUCAACAGCUGCCCCGAUUGUGACACUGAACUCCAUUUAGAAUGUCUGAUCUUAAACAGUGUCCCUAACCUAAAAUAGGUUGCUCUAACUACAGAGAUUAUUGGUAGGUUUCAUAUGCCUUUGAAGACAAGGUUCAUUGAUUCCACGAGAUUUAUUGUCAUGUGGCUCCAUCGUUGACCAUUGUCAUAUGCUCUAUUCCACUUCUCCAAUGGAAUAUUGUCGAUCCACCUUACUGCAUAUGCAUUUGUCAAUCUGAUGUCUUCACGCUAGUGUUUGAAGGAAGGUUCUAUUAAUGCAUACCAUGCGUUCACAACCUUCUUCUGCAACUUCUUGUCUUUGAUCUCCCGCAUAAAAUUUUGAGCGAUGUGUCUAAUGCGGUAGACAUGCAUUGAAGGAGGAUCCUGCCAGCUGUUAUCAAGGUUUUUAUAGGCACUCUCAAUUAAUGGAUGUCUGUCUAAAAUCAAACAUAAGUUAGACUGAGGAGCAACAUGUAAUCAAAUAUUUUUUAAGAAAAAAACUCCAUCCACCAGCAGUGUCCCCUUCAACCAGAGCAAAAGAUAUUGUAAAAAUGUUGUUGUUGCCAUCUUGUGCCAUACAUAAUGGCACAUGCUUUAAAAGUACAACAUAUGCACCAUACCCAAUGGCAAAUACUUUGGAUAUCACAUGCAAAAAAGAAUCAUGUGAAUGUGUCAUUCACAUCUAUAAAUAUUGAUGUGUUUCUCAGCAUUUCCAUCAAACACACUCAAUCCAUCUACCUUGUAUGCAACAUACACUCAAUAUACCCACUUUGUCAGCAACAAAUACUCAAAAGCAUUCAAUAAAAAUGUCUCUACUAACCAUGGGUGAUGAACAUCGAGGAACUAUCGACAAUAUUACAGAGUUUGUAAGUUACUAUUUCUUAAUACUAUAGCUUAUUUAAUUUUCUUAAUAAUAUAGUUUAUUACUUUUUCUUACAUAUUUCCUUAAUAAUCUUUUGUUAGGAACCAAAGAAGUUUUGAUGCUGUGUACAUGAAUAUCUACCAUACAAUCCAUUGAUAGAACCAUACUUACGAGUAAGCGGUUUUGGUAAUGUACUUAAUAUAGUCUCAUACUCUAUUGAUUACAAAUUUAUUCUUGCUUUAGUAGAAAGAUGAAGACUCGAGACCCACACAUUUCACCUUUCAUUCGGUGAACGUACCGUCACACUAGAGGACAUCUACAUGUUGUUGGGUCUACAUAUCGAUGGUAAAAUUGUUAAUGGUAGAGUUAACCAAGAUAACUCUAUAUGCGAAUAAUUGUUGGGUGCCCCUUUGUGUGAAGACACAACUACAAGAUAAAUUUCGGGUCAACCUAGGGGUCAAUGUAUUAAUUUAAAAUAUCUUAAACAAUAUUAUUCAAGUAUAACAUUAAACGAAGAAUCGACUGAUUAUGAAAAGAUAAUUAAAGCUCGGUGUUAUAUUAUGAUUUUAUUUGGUAAUUUUUUAUUUCCUGGAAGUACUGAUAAUACGGCAAAUAUUAUGUAUUUGUCGUUGUUACGAAACAUAAAUAAAGUAGAAAUAUAUAGUUAGGGUUCCGUUUUUUUAUCCCAUCUAUAUAGUUCAUUGUGUAAAAAUGCAAAAAAGAAUACUUAUACGUUUUAUUCUUGCGUCUUUUUGCUACAAGCACGAGGUUGGUCAAUAAUUCCAUCACUUGCCCCGAUUAACGAGAAGUCAUUCGCAACAAAGUAAAUUUAUCUUAAAUCUUCAAAUUUGUUAAGCUUUAUACUACAACUAAAUAUAACUAAUAUAUUUUCAAUCUUUUCGUUUUAGGUGGUUAGCUCUGGGGAUGAACUACAAUAGGUGUCCCAAACACGCUAUAAUAGUCUAUCACAAUCUUUUAGAUCACCUUGGACCAGACGAUGUAUUACAACUAAACAACUCUAAAUUUGAUUUUAAAAAUUACCAAAUUACAAAUCUUCUAAUCAUGUAUUUUUCUCAUACAGUUUAUAAGGAGUCUGUAUCUGGGCCUUAACCAUCAGGUUAACCCUGAUGAUGCUGCAGUUUGGAUAACGAAAACAUUAAUCAUCAGGUUCACUACUGUGGAGAUGCACUAGAGUGACCAUGUGAAACUGCAGUUCGGCAUGCAACAACAGAUUCCAGAUCCUCCAACGUGUUUGGGAGAUUGACAUCAACAAAAAGUCAAUGUCCAAUAGGGUUAUUCCAAUUGGAGAGAAUUCGUUAAAGAGAUGUGUUGUCAUUGGAAGAAUCGACAUCGAUACAACUUAAAUGAACUGAUCAUAUAAGGUGCUAGACUAACUCAACAUCAUAUGGAUUGGUUUAGGUCAGUUACAAUGACAUUGUUUGUGCCCGAGUCGAGGUAUUUCAUUGAUCCACGCCAACAAGCUUCAUCGUCGUACACCAAAUAACAAACCCCCGCCCAAUAACUAACCCCGCACCAUUAUCAAAUCCAAAAACAAUGUCAACUCACCCAAACCCAACGACCAACCUCACAGCGCCACCAUACCAUAUACACUCUGUCAUACCCCAAUUUUGUCAGGGUAUUUUAAAUUCAUCGGAUACAUGUCCAUUUGUCAAGUUUUGUAUUUUUAGCCAUAUGCAUUUUUAUCAUCAAAUAAAGUCAUCAUAACCAUGCAUAUAUGCAUUAUAGUAAAAAAGUCAACAUAAAGUCAAUAUUUUACAAGUUAAAUAAAUUGACUAAAAUUGCAUUUUUCCAUUAUGCAUUUUAAAAAAUAAAUUCAUGAUCAUUUGAUUUACCAUCAAAAUAUCUAUUUGAAUUUUAUUAAUCAUUUUCAUGCAUCAUAAAACAAAAAUCAAUGUUUCUAGAAGGUCCAAAUCAUCUCUCAUUUAUUACAUCAUUAUUCCAUGUAUAUAUUACAUCAUUAUUCAAUGCAUAUAUUAUAUCAUUAUUCACUAUUUAAUUAAAUAAAUUUGUACAAGGCACUCACACUCUUUGCAUAAUUUCUAAAUUGUCCUUUCUAGAGCCUAUAAAUAAAUCAUAUUUCAUUCACAAAUUAAGCAAAACCUCUCUUCAUUUUUCUAAAGUAAUUUCUUUCUUUCUUUAUUGAAUUUUAUUUUUGGUAAGCUCUUAUGCUUGACAUUUAUUUAAUUCCAUUGCAUUUUUAUUCUUACUUCAUUUAUUUAGUACCUUAAUUAUCACCAUUUUGCAUGGAAACUCCAUUAAUUUAAAAUCAAGAGUUUAAAAUGUUUUUGAACCUCCAUGGACAAAAGUGAUUAAAUAUGAAUUAAUUUUUGUUUAUUUAAUUUUCUUUGUAUUAUUAUUAUUGCUUCACUUAAUUAGUACCUUAAUCAUCACAAUUUUGCAUAGAAACUCCACUGAUUCAAAAUUAAGAGUUUAAAGUGUUCUUGAAUUUUCAUAAACAAAAGUGAUUAACUUUGAUUUAAUUUUCGUUUAUUUAAUUUUCUUUGCAUUAUUAUUCCUGUUGCACUUAAUUAGUACAUUAAUCCCUACUAUUUUGUAUGGAAACUACAUUAAUUCAAAAUCAAGAGUUUAAAGUGUUCUUGAACAUCCAUGAACAAAAAUGAUCAAAUGCAAAUUUAUGUUUGUUUUACAUAAAUAAUAUAUCCAAUAACUUCUCAACAUCAUCCCGAACAUGAAUCCAUAGUUCGUUUGUCAUGAUGAUGGAUAAAAUUGUCAAAUCAAGCAAAUAUAUGCUGCUGGGUUUUUGUUAAUUUUUGAAUUUUUUGUUGUUUAUUUGCUGAUUUUUGAUACACCAUUGUGUUCGUGAAAUCGAGUAGCUAAAUUUACAUUAUUUAUUUGCUUAAAUCCAUGAAAAUAUAAGAAAGUUAUAAUGUUUUUACGUUUUGGUUGUAACAUUUUUUUUCUAUUUUUGUUGUUAUGAGAAUAAUAAUCAAAUGUGGGAUUGGUGAAUGUAACACCCCAAUUAAACUAAGCUAAUUAUUUAAUUUAAAUUAAUAUUUUAUUUAUUAAUUUAAUCGAAUAAUUGGGAGUUUGGAUUAUUAUUAUUAUUUUGAAAUAAUAAUUAUUGGGUUAUUAUAGAGCAUGACAGGAUAAUUUGAUGAUUUUUGUGAAAUGAUUGUGUGACACCCUUCGGGGCAUAAUUACUCUGAUUAAUAUGUUAAUAUUUUUAAUCAAAUAAUUUGGGGUAUUAAGAGGGGUGUUACAGUGAACACAAAACCUCUCCACAUCCCUUGAUUAUUCAACACACUUAUGUGGGGUUUCUCCUUUAAACCUAGAGCAUUUUUCUUACUAUACCCUCAAUUUUUAGUCUCUUUUUGUCUUUUGUGUUUUAUUUAUUUAUUAUUUUCUUAUUAUUGUUUUAUUUAUUUAUUUUUGUUCUUUCUUUUAUUUCCUUUAGUUUUUUUAGUUCUUUUACCUUUUGUAUUGAUAUUAUGAUUUCCCUUUUAUUAUUUCUUUUACUUUUUUUUAUUACUUUAUUUUUUAGUUUAUUUUAUUGUAUUUUUAGUUGAUGCAUAAUUGUUAAUCCAAAAAGACAAAAUGACCAUUAAAAUUAAACUUUCAAAAAUACUAAAAUAAAAGGUGUUUGAUCAACAUCAAGUACAUUUUUCAAAAGCAUACUAAGUCUUUUUCUUUAAUAAGCGCCUCAUAUCAUUUCAAACCAUUUCAUAAAUCAUUUUUACUAACGCGAUAAACACGCAAUCAACAUCAAGUUGCAUGUCCGCUUACUCUAAGCGAUUAAAUACUUUUCUUAAUUAAACUUCGAAUGAAAAAGGGAAUGGGAGACGUUCGCCUCACCACCCCUCGAAUGAUUGAACGAUUGACGCUUGUCAUAUUACUCGAAUUUCCGUCUUCCGAUUAAAACACUCUAAAUAAACUUGGAUAAAGGAAUAAGUGACACACACCUCAUUAUUCCUCGAAUAAGCAAGUGGGAGGUGCUCGCCUCACUACCGCGAAUAGUCGACUUCCACAAACAAUUUUCAAAUACCAAAUUGGACAAAAAAGGAACGGGGACACUCACCCUCACUAUUCCUUGAAUAAGUGAAUAAUUGACGCGCACCAUAUUGCUCAAACUUUCGUCAAUCCCCCUAAAAAACAUACAAACACAUUAACUUAAUUUCUCGCCUCUGUGGGAUCAACACCUUCUUUUUGAAAAGAACAUUGUUAAAUCAUUUCUAAUGCAUAUACAAACUAGCGCUUAAGUCUCCCUCUACGAGCAUGCAAGCCCAUGUUUAACCGUUAGAAUUCGAUCUAAGAACUUAUUCAUUAAAACAAACUUCAAACAAUCAAACCUAUCUUUUUCUCGCCCCCGUCCGAUAAAAAUCCUUUUCACAAAUGGACAUUGUUUAGUCCUUUCUAAUGCGUACACAAACUAGCGCUUAAGUCUCUCAUGCGCGAGCAUACAAUUAAAUAUUUAAACUGCUAGAAUGCGACCAAACGAGAUCCCUUCUACUGCAAAAGAAACAAACACUAAGUCCCCCCAUCCGUGAGCAAACAAGUUAAUGUUUAAACUGUUACAAUGCGACCUAAAUAUUUGUCCUCUAAAAUCAAUCAAUCAACACUCUUUUGCUACCCCGAACUACGAAGCUUUGAGUUCCUCAUUGUACUCGAGGAUACGUAGGAGCAAGACUCACAAUUUUGUCAAACAUUAUAAUAAAAAUAUUUUUGCGACCCCUUUUAUUUUACACUUUCAAUAACUCGAAGAAAAUAAUUAACAUAAGCCAACAUUCAAUCGCGAAUUUAACUAAAAGGUUCACGUUGAGUACAACAGACGUGAGUGGUGCUAAUACCUUCCCCUUGUGUAAUCUACUCCCGAAUUCGAAUUUGUUUGUGACAGUCAUUUUCCUUUUUUUAAGGUUUUAUCAAUAUUUUCCUAUUCCUUCAUUAAAAUAAAUAAAGUUCAGUGGUGACUCUGUUCGAAUCAUUUUUUCUGUGACUUCGCGAAGGAUCAUAUUUUUUGAGAUGCGACACACCCAACCUCCAAACACUCAACUUUGCAACCAAUAGAUGCCACACACCCAAACAAAAUACCAAGAGUAUGACCCAUGACACCAAUAACCACAUGCUCCCACCACAUAUUACUAUAGCCUCAAUGAUUCAUUUGAUUCCAUAAUAUCCCACCAUAGCCCCCCACCAAUGAACACCCAAACAUCCCACCACCAAAGCAUCCAACCACAAUAUGACUUUGUUACACCACAAGAAUCAUUGCUUCGUUUCUAAAACGAUUUAAUGUCAUGAUUCAACCAACCAUAUCGUCCACUCAUAACCCAACCACAACGACCCAACUACGACAACAUAACCACCAAACUAAAUUACGGCAGUACCGUUGACGGUAACCCUCAACUAUUGAGAAGAAAUGAUGACAAAUAUGUCAAAUACUCCAGGACCCUCACAUCAACCACCUUUUCCUCAACCAACAUUCAAAGACCCUAAACACCUCAAAGAAAUCGUGAGAGACCUCGAAGACAGACUAAUGCACCAGGAUGUGGAACCUGAGGAUGUUUCAAUCGGGCGAAUCAUUUUAUGUAUUUGAAUUUUAUAAGGUAAUAUCAUGGAUUAUUUUUAAUUUUCUUCUUUAUUUCAAAUUUUUUAAAUUAUAAUUAAAAAAAGUUAAAAAAUAAAUAAAGGAGUAACCACAUGCAAUGACACAUGCUCCUAAUGGAUGCAUGCAUGCGCCACUUAAAGUGAUAUGUUUUCAAUGCUGUCACCAUCAUCAUCGGUGCCUUAGUGUAUAAGAAUAAUCUAUCUGUCAUUUCUCCUGACUAUUUUUUUUGAAAAAUAGUUAUUUUGAUAAAUAAUUUAAAAAUAUAAUUGUUUUAGUGUUUAAUUUAAAAAUAGUAGUUAUUUUAAAAAAAAUUCAAAAAUUGAUGUAAAUACGUGUGAUUAAAUUUUAUUGACUGAACAUAAAAAAAAUCUAUUUAUUGAAUUUAGCGAAUGAAUAUAAAGUUUAAUUGAAAUACACUGACAGUGUAAAAUGAUUUUACAUCGUCAGUUAAUAAUAGAGGUUGAAUAUUAAAAUAAAUUUAAUUUUUAUUUUAAAAAUCUAUAAAGUAAUACAAACAAGAAAAAUGAUGAUGAUGAAUUGAUAGAGUAAAACUUUAUAACUUAAAGACAAUAGUAAUUACUCUCAUGAAUAUUUCGUCCCAUAUAAAAAACGAUGAUAUUUGUCAUUUUUGUUAUUUUUCCCUCAACUCACAAACCGUUAAAAAAAUAAUAAAAUAAUUGAAAAGAGAAAUAAUCAUGAUAUAUUUAUAAAUUCAUUAGUUAAUUUGUAGCAUUUCUGAAAUUAUUAGAUCGAAGAAGCUCCUUCCGACAAAGAAAGGUUCGCAUCAUAUUCACAAAUUUCUACUCUUUUUCUUUCUUUUCGUUUUUCUCUCAUCCAGAUCUAUAAAUUAUCAUGAAUUUGAGAAAUCAUCGUUAAUAAAAAUCCUGCUAGUGAUUUUUAUAAUUUCAUAGGUUAUUCUCUUGGAACCCUAAAUUCUGGGUUGUAUAUAGGUUAUGGAAUUGAAAUUCCAGAUGAAUUUGAUAAAAUUGUUUAGUUUUUUUUUAUAGUUUUUUUUUAUUUUUUAUAAUUUUUUUUAGAUGCAAUUGAUUUCAUUUGUGUUAUUUUGGAGGAUAUGCUGUGUUGAAACCCUAUUUUAUCGGUUGUUUUAAGUAAUUAUUUUCAAUUUCUAUAUGUAUCUUAUUUUCUUAGGGUUCAUAGAUACAAAAACUAAUUAGUUAACAUGUUAAUCAUGAUUUUACCAUGGUUUUGCAGUUUGUGAAACAUGUUGGUUGUAAUAUUUGAAGCAUUGACACCUUUGAAAAAUGUGUGACCGUGACCGAAAUCGAUAGUGACGGUUGUAAUUACGUUUAAUUUAUUGGUAUUUUCAAAUUAUUACCGGUGUCAACGUGUUAGUGUCGGUGUUGUGUUUUCGGUGUCCAUGCCUCAUAGGUCCUAAUAUUGUAUAAUAGGAACAAAAGUUAAGUAGUUAACGUGCUUAAUGCGCCAAUCGUGAUUUUAUUUUUAUGGUUUUGAAAUUGCUAAAACAUGGUUGUUACUUGUUAUGAUACUGUAUAAUGUUUACCUUGCUUAUUUUUUCAUUAUUGCUUAAUGUAGAUAUCCUCGAUGGUUAAAACCUUAAAAUCCAGGAAAUUAUUGGCUUGUUAAGGUUGUUAGUGAAACACUUUUUCCAUAUUUGUUAAAUACUCCUGCAGGUCUAACUUACUAAUAUUCUUUAUAGAAAAAAGUGUGUGUGUACUAUGUAUCUAUGUGCAUAUGUAUAUGUGUAUGAUUAAUGAGAGAAACACACACUAAAUUUUUGGACUCAAAUGUUGUUGCAGAAAAUGGAAUAUUGCAUGCUUCUGAUUUUCUAUUUCUUUUCAUCUCCUGAUAUGAUAGGUUCUAAUUGGUCAAAAACAUGUCUCAUCGCCAAGGAGGUGAUGCUGAAUAUUUUGCGGAUGAAUAUGAAAUGGAUGAUGUAGAAGAGGAUAUCGAUAUAGAUGGUGAAUCUAUUAAUAGAGAGGGAGGUGACGUUGACUCCGACGUUGAUGAAUAUGAUUACUCGGUUCGUAAUAUGCCGUUUCCUAAAUUUUUACAUUUUUUACUGUUAUGGAUAUGUUGUACACGAUGAUGUUUUAUUGUACAAUAACCCAUUUUCCAUUUAUGGGGGCGUCGACUUACUCUCCUAGUUAAAUAAAUAAUUCAUCAAGCAAAUGUAAAUUAUUGUAUCUUUCUACGAGUAACAUUAUUGUUAUGAUGGCAGAGUAGUAAAGCGGUAGACACUACAGCUGCUCAAGCUAGAAGAGGACAAGACAUCCAGGGGAUUCCGUGGGAUAGCCUUAGCAUCACCAGAGAAAGGUAUCGGCAAACGAGGCUUGAGCAAUACAAGAAUUAUGAAAAUAUCCCCCAAUCAGGGGAAAGGUCAGGGAAGGUAACAAUUUGAUGCAUUUUCUCUUUGAUAUUUCAGAGAAAAAACUUCAUAUAUGUCACCGGCCAUAACUAUGGCCAAUAUAAACCAUAGUCACAGAAUUCGCCACAGUACACAGAACUGCGGAUUGGUCCUCGAGUACCUGUUCCCGGUAUUUCUUUUUUGCGAUUUGGUUCACGCAAUUUCAUGAGAAAUUUGCAGGAAUCCGUGUACCAGAGAGGCAAAACCAUCUCUGGUUUAAUUGAGCAUUAUAAUACUAAGUAAAAUAAAAACCGGCUAAAGAAACCGUUGUUUAAAUACUGCACUGGCAAUGGGAAAUACUCAUCGCAUUAAAAAAGGGAGAUAUCACUGGCCUUCACAUGCGCCGCACCUUGCUGUACACUGGAGCGUUGGUCUAUACACUGUUUAUAUUUAGUUUACCUCUAUGUUUUCCAAGCUUCCGAUGUGGGACUAUAGUGCUAUCUCCUAAUGUCGGACUACUCCUAUAGCCCUAUCUCUCUAUGUUUGACAAGCCACAUACUUGGGUGCAUAUCCUCUAUUGGUGACUAUUGGACUAUCCUUUUUAAGGUGACUUUUGUUGGAAUCUGAUUUUUUAAACAAAUGUUAAUUACUCUUCUUGAUAAUAGAUGCUUAGAUCAUAGAUACUCAAAUAAUUAUUUUGACAAUAGGGAAUUAGUUCCUAAAAUGAAAUUGCAUUUUUUUUAAUACUAAAAAAUGCUACCGGUCUAUUAUAUUAUAAAUCACACAACUAUAUAACAUCUUAGUGCUCAGUUUUUUAACAAUAUAAAUUGUUUUUUGACGAUUUUAAUGAUAUUAAUUUAAUUUGAAUUACAAAAGAUGUAAUCUACAUAAAUGGUAAACUAAAAAUAUUUCUAAAACUUCCAUUUUCUUGAAAAUGCGAACUAUCAAUUUUUCAUUACUAUUAAAAUGUAUUUAUGGAUAGUUUGAGAUUCUUUUGUUUUUAUCAUUUUUCGUGUUGUUUUUAAAUUAGAUAUUUUUAAUUCACAGUGUACCGAUUAGUAUAUUAAAACAUAUUACAAACCGAAAUAGUGCACUGACUAUGUAUACCAUGUACCUAAUACUUUGAGGGUUGUGUACCACAUACCCAAAACCGUAACACGUACUGCAGAAAAUUGUGAACCAGGCGACUAUGAUAUAAAUAACACCAUGCUUACCUGUUCAUUAUUGUCUAUUACAAACAGGAUUGUAACAGUACAGACAAAGGAUACUCAUUUUAUGAGUUCAGGAGAAAUUCAAGAUCAGUAAAAUCAACAAUUCUUCAUUUUCAGGUAAGCUGUAGCCUGUAUCUACUCUGGUUUUUAUAAUGGAUUAAGGAUGCUCUAGGACAUUUUACUGCACAAUGGCUCUGUUUAACUGUUUUUUAUAAAUUAAAAGUUAGAUCAGCUUAUUACAAUAUGAAAUAUAUUAAACCAAUGGUCCAAACUUUAAGUCAAGUCUGAAAAGUGUUGGUACUUCAAUGCACCGUGUAUUGAAAUUGAUAGCAAGAGUAAAGGGAGAAGGAAGAGACUCUACAUCACUCUAUACCGAACGGCCACAUGAUAAAAUGCUCAUAAUCAUUGAAUAGGUUCAAAAAAUUAAAAAUAUGCAGGUAUCCAAUACCUGCAAUAUUUAUCUGGUGGCCAGUUUAAAAUACUCAGUUGCUGGUUUGAAUCAGUAUGUGGUAAGCAACUAAAUUUGGUAGAGAGAGCUCUGAGGUUUUCACAGCUGGAACAUGUGAUUUAUUAUAUAUUAUGUCAAAUUUUGUAGUCUGUUCAUAGGAUGCGAAGCUUGAGCAGUACCUUGGAUGCAAUAGGCUUCGAAGAGAUGUGAUCUCAUGUGGUUUGACUGAUAUUCCCUCCUUUUUUUUAUACUUAUGCAGUUGAGGAAUUUGGUUUGGGCUACAUCAAAGCAUGAUGUAUACCUUAUGUCUCAGUUCUCAGUAACACAUUGGUCUUCUUUGACUUGCACAAGGUCUGAAGUACUCAAUGUUUCAGGACAUGUUGCACCAUCAGAGGUGAAUAGUCCUUUAAAUAAUGUUUUUAAUUGGAUAGCCCUCUAAACCAUGUUGCACCGUCAUGUAGCACAAGGUCUAAAGAAUGGUUUGACUUCUGAUUGUUCAUUGCAUUAAUUUUGAGAAAAUAAUUGUCAAUCAUGUUUGUAAUCUUCCAUGUUAUCAUUUUUCCUUGUCAGAAACAUCCUGGAAGUCUAUUGGAAGGAUUCACACACACUCAAGUUAGUACACUUGCAGUAAAAGAUAAUCUUCUAGUUGCUGGAGGAUUUCAGGGUGAACUUAUUUGCAAGGUAAAUGUUAAUUUGCUUGUUAUUGAGGAAUACGAUUUUUUUAAAUCUGUUGCGAAUAGAGCAGUAAGUAUAAUUUGUAAUCCUGGACAUCCACAUUCUGAUCAUUCCGUGAAACGUUUAAACAAAAUUUAAAGAAUGCAAUGCACUGCUUUCGUAAGUUCAUACGCAACAUGCACAAGCAGACAUGUGAUUUAUAUGUGGUGAUGAAUAACUUUUUUAGGUAACAUUGUAAAGACUUAAAUAUAUUUUUUGUCUAUGUAAAAGAGACUGUUUUGGAAAGAUCUGCCCAAUUUUCUCAUUUUGUGGCUUCCUAAAUAUCUCAGUAAUUUAGUGUUUUUCAAAUUUUACAGACCAUGUGGAACCUAAGAACAAUUAAUGAGCAUUGUUUUAAUAAUUGGUGGAGUACUAGAGUGUUGCAACUCCUCUCUCCUUCAUUUUCCAGCCCUUUUUUAAAUUUCUUUUCAAGGAAUACUUGAAUUAUCAUUUUCAUUCAUGUUAAUCCUAAUUGGGCAUUUGCAUAUGCAUUCAGUUUGGUUUGCAUUGCUAUUAGAUUCUGCAUGUUUUUUAGUUAUAUUUGCAGAUGCUGUAGACGUGUCCCUCGGAAUUUGUUUUUGUUAUUAGAACCAUCAGCUGAUAUACUUUCAUCACUUUCUUUGUUACUGAAAUGCAGCACCUAGACCGACCUGGUGUCAGCUUUUGCUCAAGGACUACUUAUGAUGAUAACGCUAUCACCAAUGCCAUUGAGAUUUAUGCUUCUCCUAGGUAUUUAGUUUUCUUUCUAAUUGUUUUGUUAUUUUAAGAAUGGUUAUAGGUACCUGUGUUUUAAUACCAUUGGUUCCUGCUUUUUAGUGGGGCAGUUCAUUUCACAGCAUCAAAUAAUGAUUGUGGAAUCAGAAACUUUGAUAUGGAGAAGUUUCAACUCUCUAAGCAUUUUCGUUUUCCCUGGCCAGUGAAUGUGAGUCUCUUAGAUUAUGUUCUAAUCUUUUAGUUUCCUACCUCUCUUAAGAUGAUAAGUGAAUACUUUAAUUUUGUUCUUCAGAAGUUUUAUUGCCAUUUCUUUUUGCAUUAAUGAGCAAUUUUUGCAUUAUGACACAUUUGCUCUAUGGAUGAGUCGAUUGAUUUCCCACCCUAAUUUGACUUAUAAAGUUUAUUCUCGAAGUUCAACAAUUAGAAGAAAUAAUGAACAAAUUCGAGUGUCAAUAUGGGCCUUCAGCGACUAGCUAGAAUUGUUGAUAUCUUUCUGUUCUUGUGACAUUCCUUUGCUUUCUAUUUAUGUUCUCAUCUUUGUCCGUUUUUUCCCAUGCUGCAGCAUACUUCUCUCAGUCCAGAUGGUAAGCUACUUCUGAUUGUUGGAGACAAUCCUGAAAGCAUGUUGGUGGACUCUCAAAAUGGAAAGGUAGUACACUACGCCCGUUUCGGUCAAACAACCAAACACUUCUUCAGUUAGUUGCAUCCAAAGAGUACUAGUACAUGAUUGCAAAUCUUGCUAAUCCGAAUUUCCUUAUUUUGCAGACUAUUGCUCCAUUAUCUGGGCACUUAGAUUUUUCAUUUGCAUCAUCAUGGAAUCCUGAUGGCGUGACCUUUGCUACUGGAAACCAGGACAAAACCUGUAGGAUUUGGGACAUGCGAAACUUAUCCAAGUCAGUGGCAGUGUUGAAGGGAAAUCUCGGAGCUAUCCGUUCAAUCCGACAUUCUUCUGACGGCAAGUAUAUGGCUAUAGCCGAGCCUGCAGAUUUUGUCCAUGUAUAUGAUGUGAAAAGUGGGUAUGAGAAAGAACAGGAAAUCGAUUUCUUCGGUGAGAUAUCCGGCAUAUCUUUCAGUCCAGACACCGAAUCCCUUUUCAUCGGGGUUUGGGAUCGUACAUAUGGCAGCCUUCUUGAAUAUGGCCGACGUCAUAAUUACUCAUACGCUGACCUAAUGAUUUAGUCGAAUAUAUUCAAGACGAGGGAUAAAGUAACAUAAUAGACAGUGCACUUGAUCGAACAGCUUGCUUUAUGUAUCCUUUUGGGGUAGGUUGUUAAUGUAUAAAUUGAGUGUCCUGCAAGUUACCUCAAAUUUGUAGUUAUAGUAGGGCGUGUUUGUGUUUAUAAUGGUGUGUGUGUGUGGAAAGUGAGGUAGUAGGAGGCUAGAAGAAGAUGAUGGUGCAAACAGAUCUUGCUGAGUAUCAUCAUCAUCACUAUGUAAUGCAGUAGUUUUCUGUCUUGGAAAAACUCACUAUGGCAAUAACAUAUAUAUAUAUAUAUAUAUCUUGAUAUUUCUUGGUCCUAUUUGUCCAUUGAUUGUCUAGUUAGUGUUUGAGUGGAGCAUAGGUAGUAUGCAUCAUUCAAAGGAAAACUAAGUAGUUUGUUGUAUGAAGAUUUUAUGUUACAUUAGCCUUUUGUAUUUUGUUUAUCUUUGUCAAGUUUUUAUGUCCAUGUUGAUGUAUUACAAAACUUGAUGGAAUAUAUAAAUACUAAAAGAAUAGUAUUGAGAAACUAGGACUUACCUGGUUAACUUUUCCAUAAACAACUAUAAGCUUAUUAAACUUAUUUUCUAUCAAAAAGAAAAAUGUAAACUUAUUUCAAUUUUAAAAAUUAUCAUAACUUAAAAACUAAUUUAAAUUUAGUGAGCCAUGUACAAUCAAAUUAAGUUCAAGUUGCUGUAAUUUUAAGAUACUCAAUUUAAUAUUUAAUAAUAAAAAAAUAAAAAGAAGUUUUUUAUAAAUAAAAUAAUGGGUGAGUCCUAGUUUAAGUCACAAGUAUUUUUUACUUGUAAAUAAUAUAAACAGAUUUUUGCAUAAAGACAUUCUGUGUAGAUAUCAACAAUUAAAGACCACAGAGAAAAAUAAAAAAGAAAUCUAGAAUCCAAAACAAACCAAUAAAACCAAGCCAAGUCACUAGCUAAAAUCUUUAGUCCAUGGUCCAAAAUCACAAUCACAAAGCACCUUAUCUUUCUCUACCACCACAUCUUUUCAUACUAUAUCAUAUAAUUCCAUAACCAACCUUCUCUUCCAUUCCAUUCCAUUCACUCAUCAAACCAAAAACAAUGGCAGCAUCAGCAUCAUCCAUGAUCUCAACAAACGCCCUAACAUCCACACUCCAAAAACACCAAACACACAACCUCAAACCAUCAAACCUAUGUUUCCAAGGCUUCAAACCCUUAACAAGAUCAACAAAACUGACACAGAACAAAAAGAGAUUCUCAUCCCUUGUUGUCAAAGCUGAACUCAACCCUUCACUUGUGAUAAGCUUAAGCACUGGUCUGUCAUUGUUUUUAGGAAGGUUUGUGUUCUUCAACUUCCAAAGAGAGAAUGUUGCAAAACAAGGUUUACCUGAACAGAAUGGUGUGACACACUUUGAAGCUGGUGACUCACGUGCUAAGGAAUAUGUUAGCUUGCUUAAGUCAAAUGAUCCUGUCGGGUUUAACCUUGUUGAUGUUUUGGCUUGGGGUUCUAUAGGUCAUAUUGUUGCUUAUUAUAUCUUGGCCACUUCUAGCAAUGGUUAUGAUCCUAGUUUCUUUGGUUAAUUAAGAUUACUAUGUUGUUCGUUUAUGUUGUUUUAAUUUGUCUUUUCUUGUCCCUUUUAUGUUUAUUAAGAUGAUGAUGAUGAUGAUGAUGUAUAGUUUAUUUGUAUGAGAUAUUCAACAAGUUAAGUUC
rnacentral:lncRNA from 1 species